GUCGGCCGUGCCGGUGCCGGGCGUGGUGGCGCCGUUGGGGCCGGUGCCCGGCGUGGUGGUGCCGUUCGGGCCGGUGGUGCCGGCGCC
rnacentral:tRNA from 1 species